GUGAUGGUGUUACGUAAUUCAGUUAAUUGUUAAGCACGGAUUUUGAUAUUAUGAUGCGAAACAAGACUCGACGUUUACGCAUUAAGUGACAUCAGCAUGUUAUGUUUUAUAUGAACUGUGCUUACUACGUCGAAUGAAAUUAAAAACAUGCAUGAAGUCAAAAAGUGUUGCUAAGAUGUUAUAAUUUUUGUACCAUUUCUUGCAGGAUAAAUGGGGAAAACUAAAAAAUGCUUUGCCUGUGUGUUCAUGUCAUCCAGUGAGCACAGAGGAUUCAAAUUCUUACACCCUCACAGGGAUUCAACACAGUGCACCUGUGAGAGGAGAGGAGGGGAUCAGGUGUGUGGACAGUUGCAAAGGGAGACCCUUACUUUCUCGUGAUGAGACCACAGAGCCGUUAUAACAAUGAAUCAUUCAUCUGCUUGCUGCAUGCUUCAUACAGGUUUCUCUUCAAUCCUGAAGAUGGCGCUGGUACACACCAGAAGACUGAACUCUUAAUUCAAAUUGUUUUGUUAGUAGCAAAGUGAUACAUACUUUGUGGAUGUUGGAAAUAAUCAAGAGUAAAAAUGGAACCAAGUCAAGGAUUUUUUCAGAAAAAUGUAAUUAACAAAAGAAACACAAAGAGAAGAUUGUUGCUGUGAAAUACUCUGACAUGAAACAAACCAGAAACUGACCUAAAAUCUGAAUUAGCAAAAAAAAAUAUCAAUUUCAAUGGCAAAACCAAAAUCAG